GAAUUGUUCGCAAUGGGCGCAAGCCUGACGACGCAACGCCGCGUGGAGGAUGAAGGUCUUCGGAUUGUAAACUCCUGUUGCCCGGGACGAACCGCUCCGACCUAAUACGUCGGAGCUUGACGGUACCGGGUGAGGAAGCCCCGGCUACCCCCGUGCCCGCAGCCGCGGUAAUACAGAGGGGGCAAGCGUUGUUCGGAAUUACUGGGCGUAAAGGGCGCGUAGGCGGCCUGUUAAGUCGAACGUGAAAUCCCCGGGCUCAACCCGGGAACUGCGUCCGAGACUGGCAGGCUUGAAUCCGGGAGAGGGAUGUAGAAUUCCAGGUGCAGCGGUGAAAUGCGUAGAUAUCUGGAGGAACACCGGUGGCGAAGGCGGCAUCCUGGACCGGUAUUGACGCUGAGGCGCGAAAGCCAGGGGAGCAAACGGG
rnacentral:rRNA from 1 species